AAUGUCCAUUACCAUUUUGAAAAGACAGAAUAAAACGAAAGAAAGGAAGCAAACGUUUGGGUUUUAGCUUCGGCGAGGAGAGAGGGUUCGUCUCUUUCUCCAACGGAUUCCCCCUCUUCUCUCUUUCUUCUUCAUUCCCUCAGAUAAACUGACUUGGAAAGGGGAGAAGGGGAGAAAUGCUUUUCGCUGAGGAGUCAAACUCUCGCCUUUUCUGUCUUUUACUUUUCUGAUUCAUGGUAUUCUGUGGCUUACAGUAACAGUAUAUGUCUGUAUCGAAUAUCAACCAAGUUGAGUUACUUCAAGGAUUUUGACCUGAAGUGAGGUUUCGGUGGAUGGGAGUAUAAUGUAGAUGAAGUUUGGUAUUGGUGUUUAGUAAUCUUAUUUUGUCUAGGUGCUUAUCACUUUCUCCAGAACCAGAUCUUUCAGAAAGAGAAUUUUUAGGAUAGAUAUAUUGUUAGUGAUUUUUGUGGGUUUGUUGAGGAGUUAGAACAUUGUUAGUUGUUAUGGCUGUUGCCAACAGCAACAGCGGCAGUGAACAUUCAACUUCAUACAAUUGUUACACAGUAGCAAGCUUGACAGAGACCAUAUUAGACGCAAAACAAAUCUCUAAUUUGAAAGAUCGAUACGUUCUUGGAGAGCAGUUGGGCUGGGGGCAGUCUGGUGUCAUAAGAACUUGCUCUGACAAGCUGACCGGGGAGGUUUUGGCAUGCAAAUCUAUUGCUAAAGAUAGGUUGGUUACUUCGGAUGAUCAGAAGAGUGUUAAACUUGAGAUUGAGAUAAUGUCUAGGUUAUCCGGGCACCCAAAUGUUGUUGAUCUGAAGGCAGUUUAUGAAGAGGAAGAUUUUGUUCAUUUGGUGAUGGAGCUUUGUGCUGGAGGAGAGCUGUUUCAUCUGUUAGAGAAGCAUGGUCGGUUUCCUGAAUCUGAAGCCAGGGUACUCUUCAGGCAUCUCAUGCAGAUGGUUUUGUAUUGUCAUGAAAAUGGAGUUGUUCAUAGAGAUUUGAAGCCUGAAAACAUUCUCUUGACAACUAGAUCUUCCUCAUCUCCAAUUAAAUUGGCAGACUUUGGGCUUGCAACCUACAUUGAGCCUGGGCAGAGUUUGCAUGGAUUAGUUGGUAGUCCAUUCUACAUAGCUCCAGAGGUACUGGCAGGUGCAUAUAACCAGGCUGCUGAUGUUUGGAGUGCAGGGGUUAUUCUUUACAUUCUACUGAGUGGGAUGCCUCCGUUUUGGGGAAAGACAAAGUCACGGAUAUUUGAAGCUGUUAAAACUGCUAACCUGAGGUUCCCAUCUGAGCCAUGGGAUUAUGUUUCCAAGUCAGCUAAGGAUUUGAUCAGGGGAAUGCUCUGCACAGAAUCUUCUCGAAGGCUCACUGCCAAGGAGGUUUUAGAUCAUCACUGGAUGCAGAGUAAUCAAACAAACCCUAAACAACUAAGUGAACAUAAAAUCAGGAGUUGUGGAGAGUGGGAUGUUGGUAGCAACUCAUUCUCUACCUCAUUUAUGUCCAGGAAUAAGGACAUCAGCUUUGGUGCUGAAUCUCCAAUAUGUGGUGCUCAAUCGCCUACACUUACGUGCAAAUCAUCAUUUUCUUCCUUUUUUGAGGAACCAGUGACACCUUUUACUGUCUCUGGUGGAUUUUCAUUUCAGAGCUCAGGUGAUUCCAUUGAUUUGGAAUUCUCUUCUACUGUUCCCUCAAUUCCCUCAAUGCCUAGCUUUGCAUUUCUUAGCCCCAGUUCUGUUUUUGAGCAAAGGGGUUGUAUAUCAGAGUUCCCAACUAACACAUCAAAUGUAAAUGCAAUUGUUGGAGGUUCUGCUCUUUGCUUUGGACAUGAUGUUAAAGAGAUGGAUUGCAAACCUGUAGAGGGUAAAGUGGCAGGUGGAAUAAAUGGCCAUAGGGCAUUGGGAUUUCACAACAAGAGAAACCGGACAAUUGGACUUGGCGAGUGUGAGCAACUUGAUCUUGUGUUGACUGAAUCAGUUAUUCGUUGGUCAUCAUGCACCCAACUUCCCACAUCACCGAGAUCAUCUCUUGUCUGUUGAGGGUAGACUUUUGGAGAGAUUGAUAGAAUAGCCUGAUGUGGUGACUAAAUUUGGCCUACUGAUGCAAAUUUACUGAACCCGUUGUAUAUGUUUUCCCAAAUUUUUGCAUUCAUGCUUCUGUCUUCUGCUUGGUGCAAGUUGUGGUUCGGAUCUGUCACUUUAAUCAUUGCCUUUAUAGAGGAUCUGAAAACAAUGAGAUGUGCCUUGGUGUUUGUUGAAGAAGCAACGAUGUUGUGGAGCCCAUAAUAAAGCUCUGGUGGUUCGUCAGUGGCAAUGAUUCGGCUAGAGAUUAUUCCAAAACAAUAUUUGGCUGAUUGGAAGAGGUGCUUAUAACUUCUUUGUUUGCUUUUUACAAAUUCUUGUAGUAAGUGUAAAAUUCACCCUGCAGAGUGGUCCUUUGAAACGGUGUAGGAUUUAAACUAAAUGCAAGGCAAGGACCUUCAUCCCUUAGCGUCAAUUUAGCAUCUCUAAAUCUUGUAAAGUAAUAGUAUUACUAUCGUUUUAAUGAUUAGUGAGAGAAAUGUUUUGAGAUCGAGUUUGGCCUUGCUUGGCAGAGCUCUAUCUCAUUCUCAAGACUGAAACUGAGGCAGAUUAAGUGUUGAGAAAUAUAAUCAACUUAAUUCAUUGUCACUGCUUUCCUAUUAGAAUAUGUAGAGAAUAUCUCAAUCAUUAUUGUACCUAAGAAUAUUUUUUAUUAUCUUAGGUGAUCUCUUAGGAGUGAUUUCCAUAUUUCAUAAUUUCUUUUUCUUAUUUAAUAAAACUCAAUAGUUUAGUUUUAGUAUAAGUUAAAUAAUUAAUCAAUAGUAUUUUUUAACACGUCAUUACACACCGUAUAUUAACAUUAUGUUCUAUUAUUUGAAGUUCUCUCUUGCGACGUCUCUACCAGAAUCCUUUAAUUUGAACUCCUUCCAUUUUUUACACUCAAGCAAGUAUAGGAGAAAACUGAAGCAAAUUGUUGAAGGAUGUCGUUAUUUUAAAUGGAAUCAGUGGUUAGGUUUACAUUAAAUUACAUUGGUACAAUCUUUUAGUUGGAACUUGGCUAGUUGGCGUGCUCUCUAUCUAAUUUUCUUCUCAUGUGCCUUGAUUGUUCUUCUAAGCCUAUGAUAUAACCAUGUCUUGCUCAAGGUAAAAAUGUUUUACAGAUGACUAGAAAACAUACAGGAUUGGUGCAUUUCAUGACAGCUUUGGUGAGGUCACCGAAUACCUGCAUGUACCUCACUUUAGAGGAUGACAUGCUGCACGAAUUUGGUGCUUGUGACUAUCAUUGCGCAGUGGCCAGGAAGCCCAAAAAGAGGUUAGCCAGAGGUAUAACGGAAAGAAGUUUCAUUUAAGCCGGGAUCCUGACCUUCUUGAUGCAUAGUUUUCUUCUGUUGUGUUCCCAUUAUCUGUACUGGGAUGGCCUGAUUACACAUUGGACCUUAACACAGCUGAAUUUUUCACCAAUUUAGUGAAUUCUUGUUGAUUGAAUUCUGCUGUUUUUAUUCAUUUCAUUCUGUCAAAAUUAACCAAGAUAUUCAAACGGUGGCUGGGUAUCACCAAUGGUGUAAUAAACCGUGGAAUGCAGUUUGCUUAUCAAUAAAAAAAAUAAAAAUAAAAAUAAAAAACCGUGGAAUGCAGUACUAUUUGCAAUGAGCAAGCCUGGGAUGAUUAUAUUCUCCUGAAAUUUGAUUCCAGAUGUUCUCCUAUUUUGCUGCCAGUGGAUACUCUCAGUGUUAAAUAAAACCAUAUAUAAAACAAUGAAGUCUCUAGAAUCAUUUGAUUUCUCACAAGCUAUUGUUACAGCGUAUUCUUGAUGGCAGUUUCAAUUGUGUGAUGUAUUUAUCAAAGUUAUUAAGCCUUACUUUACUGAUAAUGAUCCUAAGUUUGCUUCCGAAAGACGCUUUGGACAAGAUACCUUGUGGUUUAGUGUGGACAAUGGCCUGCGAUUGCUUCAUCCCUUUAUGCCUUUGUCAUGGAAGAAUUAUGGAAGCCCCUUCAUUCACCCAGGGAAUUUAAGAGAACAGGAUCUAUCAUAUGUGAUUAUCCAUCAGCUAUAGAGGUUAGUUUUGCUCUUCAUAAUCUGUAACAGUCGGGUCUUUUGUCUGUUUAAAGUGUCAGCCAUGACGCAGCUUAUUAUGGUACAUGAGUACAUCCCAUGGUUUUAUGAUUCAACAUGCGAUGGCUUGUCAAUAAUGGGGGUUUUUAUUCAUCGGGGUUGGAAUAAUGAAAGGGUGGAGAAUGAGAUGGUUCUUAUUGAAUCUACUGUAAGAAAGAUAUGACAGGUAAUCACUGAAAAUGAUGCUGUUUAUAUAGAGUUUCAAGGAACAAAUUGUGCAGAAGCAGAGCUAGGGAAGAUCAAGAAAAGAUAG